rnacentral:snRNA from 1 species
AUCGCUUCUCGGCCUUUUGGCUAAGAUCAAAGUGUAGUAUCUGUUCUUAUCAGCUUAAUAUCUGAUACGUCUCCUAAUGGAGACAUCGAUAUUAAACUGAUUUUUAGAAUGGGAUGAGGUGCCACGGGCUUGCUCCGCCCUCAUCACGGGUUGACCCGGUAUUGCAGUACCUCCGGGAAUGGCCCACCACUC